rnacentral:lncRNA from 10 species
GAUUCCUCACAUCCCAGGACCAGCUGGAAAAGGUGGUGAGAGUUGGAAAGAGACUGCUCAGUGAGGACUGCCCUGCGAACCAGCUUGGAUUCAUCCCGUUCACCUCCACGUUCUGCACUCGGGGCCGAGGGAAGGGAGGCAGCCCAGGCAGCUAGAGAACUUGAUGAAACACACUCAAUCUGAAUCUCGCUUGAUCGUCAUGCUGACCCAGUGAGGCUACUCAGGGUCAGGCAUCCUUUCCGACUACUCACUCAGCAGCGGAUCCCCACCCGCCUCUGACUCCCAGUGUCUUUCGGCUCCAACGUAAGUUCACCGAACGUCUAAGAGCUGAGGAUUCAAAGGCAUGUAAGACCGCCCCUGCCCUCAGCUGCAAGACCUGUCCGCGAUCCUACGAGG